AUUGAACGCUGGCGGCAUGCUUUACACAUGCAAGUCGAACGGCAGCGCGGGCUUCGGCCUGGCGGCGAGUGGCGAACGGGUGAGUAAUGCAUCGGAACGUGCCCAGUAGUGGGGGAUAGCACGGCGAAAGCCGGAUUAAUACCGCAUACGACCUGAGGGUGAAAGCGGGGGACCGAAAGGCCUCGCGCUAUUGGAGGGGCCGAUGUCGGGUUAGCCAGUUGGGGGGGUAAAGGCUUACCAAGGCGACGAUCCGUAGCUGGUCUGAGAGGACGACCAGCCACACUGGGACUGAGACACGGCCCAGACUCCUACGGGAGGCAGCAGUGGGGAAUUUUGGACAAUGGGGGCAACCCUGAUCCAGCCAUGCCGCGUGCGGGAAGAAGGCCUUCGGGUUGUAAACCGCUUUUGUUCGGGAAGAAAUCCUCUGGGCUAAUACCCCGGGGGGAUGACGGUACCGGAAGAAUAAGCACCGGCUAACUACGUG
rnacentral:rRNA from 1 species